ensembl:lncRNA
AUGGGAGAGGACCUCAUGGAAAUACUAAUUGCAGUGAAGCCUACAUUGAUACUUGUUAGGAUUGUGCUACUCCUUUGUCACUCAAGACUAAGAGCCAUUACUAGGUUCCAGACAACAUAAGCUAAUUCUGGCUAGAAUUUAUUGAUGAAGACUCAGAUCUUGAAAUCUGAAUUUAAAACAACCAGCUUUUGGAUGAGCCAGACCAAGGACCCCCAGGGACCUUAGAAGCAGAAGAUAAUGGACCUUUUCUAUAGAACAUUGGACUCUUUGUUUCUCACCUUUAGUGGCCUGAUGUCAAAUGGGUCAUCUUAGUCAAGAAGGCAGGCAGGACCAUGUAUUACAAGCCUAAUUGCUGGGGAUUUUUCUGUAUCUGAAGCAAUUAUAGGCAAAGGGAAUGUUUAGAAGUAAUAAAAUUUUAAGACUUUAAGGGUGAAUGACAGAUAAACUACACAUAUUUAAAGUAUAUAAUUUGGUAUAUUUUGACAUGUGUGUAUACACACCAGGAAACUAUCACCAUAAUGAAGAAAAUGAAGAUAUCCAUAUCUCUGCUGGUUUCCUUUCGUCCUUUUUUCUUUCUUCUCUCUCAGUCCUGUGUCCCUCUUCCUGUACCCAGGCAUCAGCUGACCUGCUUCUGUCAUUGUGGAUUAGUUUGCACUUUCUAGAAUUUUACUUAAAUGGGAUCAUAAGUUCUUUUCUGACUUUUUUCAUUCAGUGUAAUUAUUUUGAGACUUAUCCAUGCUGUAGUAUUUAUCAGUACCUUAUUGCUUUUUAUGGGUGAUUAAUGUUCCAUUGGCUGGCUAUACUAUAGUUUAUUCAUUAAGCUGUUGAUGACAUUAGGGUUCUAGUUUGAGGCUAUUACUGAUAAAGUUGGUAUGAAUAUUUACAUGCAAGUGUUUUCUUUUAGACAUUUGUUUUCAUUUCUCUUGAGUAAAACCUAGGAGUAGAAUGGCCUGGUAAUCCUGUAGGUGGGUGUUUUACUUUUUCAUCAACUGCCAAGAAGUUUUUCAAAGUGGUUGUAUAAUUUUCUAUUCCUACUGGCAACAUGUGAGAGUUCUGGUUCUCUAUCAUCACUAGCACUUGGUUAUAUCCAGGACUUACUUUUUUUUUAUUAAGUUUAUUGGUACAUUUUAGGUAUACAAUACAGUUACUUUCACCAUUGGUAUCUUGUACCUUUACAUGAUAUAUAUUGGUUCUUAUUUUUUCCCCCUUCUCCUGCCAUCCCUUCAACCCCUCCACCCUUCCCUAUUUACAAAGACUUUGUUUCCAUUUUUUCAUUUUCUCAUAAUUUUUCCUUUCCCUUCUUUCCUUUCCCCUACCCCUCCCACUUUCCCUUCCUCCUUUGAACCUUUUCUUCCUAUUUCACGUUAUCAAUCAUACAUUUUGAUCCUUAUUUAUACUUUUAGUUUCUCACACCAGAGAAACUAUUUGGUAUUUACAUAUGCAUGCCCUGUUUAUUUCACUUAAGAGUUGCAUAUCGAGGCCAUACUUUAAGUGAAAUAAAUGGGACACAUGUGUAAAUAGCGAAUAGUUUCUGUAGUGUGAGAAACUGAUAGUGUAAAUAAGAGUUAAAAUGAUUAAAAUGAAUAAUUGAUAAUUUGAAAUAGGAAGAAAGGUCCAAAGACGAAGGAGUGAAGGGAGGGGAAGGGGAAAAGAAAAGAGGGAAAGGAAAAACUAUGAGAAAAGAAAAAAAAAUGGAAAUGAAAUCUAUGUAAAUAGGGAAGGGCGGAACGGGUGAAGGGCGCACUAGUAAUGGGGAAAAAAAAUAAGAACCAAGAUACAUCAUGUACAGAUACAAACACCCAAU